rnacentral:snoRNA from 1 species
UUUUUUAAAUGAUGAUAACAUAGUUCAUCUGAUUGCUAUGAUGCAUUACUAUUAUGUCUUUCGCUCCUAUCUGAUUCAAAUU